GACGAACGCUGGCGGCGUGCUUAACACAUGCAAGUCGAGCGGUAAGGCCCCUUCGGGGGUACACGAGCGGCGAACGGGUGAGUAACACGUGAGCAAUCUGCCCUUCACACGGGGAUAACUCCGGGAAACCGAAGCUAAUACCCGAUACGAACACUUCAGGCAUCUGAUGGUGGAGGAAAGUUCCGGCGGUGAAGGAUGAGCCCGCGGCCUAUCAGCUUGUUGGUGGGGUAACGGCCCACCAAGGCAACGACGGGUAGCCGGCCUGAGAGGGUGACCGGCCACACUGGGACUGAGACACGGCCCAGACUCCUACGGGAGGCAGCAGUGGGGAAUAUUGGACAAUGGGCGAAAGCCAGAUCCAGCAACGCCGCGUGAGGGAUGACGGCCUUCGGGUUGUAAACCUCUUUCAGCAGGGACGAAGCGCAAGUGACGGUACCUGCAGAAGAAGCACCGGCCAACUACGUGCCAGCCGCCGCCGUAA
rnacentral:rRNA from 1 species